GACGAACGCUGGCGGCGUGCUUAACACAUGCAAGUCGAACGGAAAGGCCCUGCUUGCAUGGUACUCUCGUGUCGAACGGGUGAGUAACACGUGUGUGUUCUGCCCUGCACUUCUUGAUAAGCCUUCAGAACUCUGUCUAUUACCCCAUAUGGGCCCUCCUUCGUCUUAUUGUUGGAUAGUUUUUUUGGUCUAGGAUGAGUUCGCUGGCUAUCAGGUUGGUGGUGGGGUAAUGGCCUACCAACGCGGCGGAGGGUAGCCGGCCUGCCGGGGUGGACGGCCAAAUUGGGAAUGGGAAAAGGCCCAGGAUCCUAAGGGAGGGAGGAGGGGGGAAUAAUGGACAAUGGGGGGAAGGCCGAUGCAGGGAAGCCGCGUGGGGGAUGACGGCCUUCGGGUUGGAAAACCGUUUCGCUAGGGAAGAAGCUGUGAGUGACGGUACCGAGAUAAGAAGCACCGGCUAACUACGUG
rnacentral:rRNA from 1 species